AACGCGCCCACGCGUGCAUGCAUGCGCAGCUAAUAACGAAAGUCCACCUGUUGGAAAUACGUCUGUCGUAUGGUAUAUGUCAUGAAAUGGCCGGCUAUCUAGGGGUGCAGUGGAUGAUAUGCACCGGGGCCCCAACAUGUUCAAGAAUUAAAAUAAUAUACAUGCAAACCUGUACAUGAAAUCUUGACAAUAUUCCUAUCGUCAGUAUGACGAAAAGUACAUUUUAUCAUAAUAUAUAUUGUAGAUCUUCAAACUAAUUCUUGAUGGUGCAAGUGUUCAGUUUUUGUUAUUUGAUUCGGAGAACUCCCGAGGAGUAUAGUGCAAGUGUGCAACAUAUAAACAUAAAACCUAAUCAUGUCCAUGCCAAGGAAAUAUCCCUCUGGGUAUCAAGAAAGAAAAUUAACAGAAAAGAGAAAAGAAGACAAGCUUUU